rnacentral:rRNA from 1 species
UACGGAGGAUGCAAGCGUUAUCCGGAUUUAUUGGGUUUAAAGGGUGCGCAGGUUGUUUGAUAAGUCAGUGGUGAAAGUCUGUCGCUUAACGGUCGGAUUGCCAUUGAUACUGUUGGACUUGAAUAUGGAUGAGGUAGGCGGAAUGUGUAGUGUAGCGGUGAAAUGCAUAGAUAUUACACAGAACACCGAUUGCGAAGGCAGCUUACUAAUCCAUCAUUGACGCUGAGGCACGAAAGCGUGGGGAGUCAAACA